rnacentral:rRNA from 1 species
UGGGGAAUAUUGGACAAUGGGCGAAAGCCUGAUCCAGCCAUGCCGCGUGUGUGAAGAAGGUCUUCGGAUUGUAAAGCACUUUAAGUUGGGAGGAAGGGCAUUAACCUAAUACGUUAGUGUUUUUACGUUACCGACAGAAUAAGCACCGGCUAACUCUGUGCCAGCAGCCGCGGUAAUACAGAGGGUGCAAGCGUUAAUCGGAAUUACUGGGCGUAAAGCGCGCGUAGGUGGUUUGUUAAGUUGGAUGUGAAAGCCCCGGGCUCAACCUGGGAACUGCAUCCAAAACUGGCAAGCUAGAGUACGGUAGAGGGUGGUGGAAUUUCCUGUGUAGCGGUGAAAUGCGUAGAUAUAGGAAGGAACACCAGUGGCGAAGGCGACCACCUGGACUGAUACUGACACUGAGGUGCGAAAGCGUGGGGAGCAAACA